rnacentral:rRNA from 1 species
UACGUAGGGGGCAAGCGUUAUCCGGAUUUACUGGGUGUAAAGGGAGCGUAGACGGCCAUUCAAGCCAGAUGUGAAAGCCCGGGGCUCAACUCCGGGACUGCAUUUGGAACUGUGCGGCUAGAGUGUCGGAGAGGCAGGCGGAAUUCCUAGUGUAGCGGUGAAAUGCGUAGAUAUUAGGAGGAACACCAGUGGCGAAGGCGGCCUGCUGGACGAUGACUGACGUUGAGGCUCGAAAGCGUGGGGAGCAAACAGG